rnacentral:rRNA from 1 species
CCUACGGGAGGCAGCAGUGAGGAAUAUUGGUCAAUGGACGAGAGUCUGAACCAGCAAAGCAGCGUGAAGGAUGAAUGUCCUCGGAGUUGUAAACUUCUUUUAUAAAGGAAUAAAUGCAGGAACGUAUCCCUUCAUGCAUGUACGUUAUGAAUAAGGAUCGGCUAACUCCGUGCCAGCAGCCGCGGUAAUACGGAGGAUGCGAGCGUUAUCCGGAUUUAUUGGGUUUAAAGGGAGCGUAGAUGGGUUGUUAAGUCAGUUGUGAAAGUUUGCGGCUCAACCGUAGAAUUGCAAUUGAUACUGGCAGUCUUGAGUGCAGUAGAGGUAGGCGGAAUUCGUGGUGUAGCGGUGAAAUGCGUAGAUAUCACGAAGAACCCCGAUUGCGAAGGCAGCUUUCUAGACUGUGACUGACAUUGAGGUUCGAAAGUGUGGGUAGCAAACAGGAUUAGAUACCCGGGUAGUC